rnacentral:sRNA from 1 species
CAGCUUUCUCCUUCACAGCAUUGCAGGAGCUUGCAGCCUGAAACAUCAGUCAGAUGAGAUCUUGGGUGAAGAGAAAAGACUGUAUAACAUAUUUACUGUCUGCUGAGUGCAUAAGAAUGCAGUCUCUGCCAGUCACUGGAGACAUCAAGCCCUGACCACUACAGGAAGCACUUGGUUUCCAUUACAUAAAAUUUACACAUUUGGAUUUG